rnacentral:rRNA from 1 species
UACGUAGGGUGCGAGCGUUAAUCGGAAUUACUGGGCGUAAAGAGUGCGUAGGCGGUUCUUGAAGUCCGCUGUGAAAGCCCCGGGCUUAACCUGGGAAUGGCAGUGGAAACUGGAGGACUUGAAUUGAGCAGAGGGGGGUGGAAUGCCGCGUGUAGCAGUGAAAUGCGUAGAGAUGCGGCGGAACACCGAUGGCGAAGGCAGCCCCCUGGGCUUAAAUUGACGCUGAGGCACGAAAGCGUGGGGAG